rnacentral:misc_RNA from 1 species
UCCCUGUUACCAGGGCAGUCUAGCUAGAAAAAUACAACUAACUAUAGGGGUUGCGCUCGUUGAUGGACUUAACCAAACAUCUCACGACACGAGCUGACGACGGCCAUGCAUCACCUGUCACUGCGCUCACAAGGCACAGUCUCCUUUCGGAGACCUUCGCAGGAUGUCAAGCCUGGGUAAGGUUCUUCGCUUAUCAUCGAAUUAAACAACACGCUCCACCGCUUGUGCGGGUUCCCGUCAAUUCCUUUAUGUUUUAGUCUUGCGACCGUACUCCACAGGCGGGAUGCUUAACGCGUUAGCUUCGCCACUACCGGGGUCGAUACCGGUAACGGCAAAUGCGCACCGUUUACAGCCAAGACUAC